rnacentral:rRNA from 1 species
UACAUGGGGUGCAAACGUUGCUCGGAAUCAUUGGGCGUAAAGGGCCAGUAGGCGGCCAACUAAGUCGGAUGUGAAAUCCCCAGGCUCAACUUGGGAACUGCAUCCGAUACUGGAUGGCUUGAAUUCGGGAGAGGGAUGCAGAAUUCCAGGUGUAGCGGUGAAAUGCGUAGAUAUCUGGAGGAACACCGGCGGCGAAGGCGGCACUCUGGGCCGGUACUGACGCUGAGGAGCGAAAGCGUGGGUAGCAAACAGG